rnacentral:snRNA from 1 species
AUACCUACCUGGACGGGGUCGAUGGGCGAUCAAGAAGGUCCAUGGCCUAGGUUGGUGACCUUCAUUGCACUUAGGAGGGGUGCCCACUUAAGAUAUCUCCAAGUGGGAUAGUCUACGUCAUAACUUGUUGCUAUGGGGUACGCGUACGCGCGGCCCCUGC